rnacentral:rRNA from 1 species
UACGAAGGGGGCUAGCGUUGCUCGGAAUCACUGGGCGUAAAGGGUGCGUAGGCGGGUCUUUAAGUCAGGGGUGAAAUCCUGGAGCUCAACUCCAGAACUGCCUUUGAUACUGAGGAUCUUGAGUUCGGGAGAGGUGAGUGGAACUGCGAGUGUAGAGGUGAAAUUCGUAGAUAUUCGCAAGAACACCAGUGGCGAAGGCGGCUCACUGGCCCGAUACUGACGCUGAGGCACGAAAGCGUGGGGAGCAAACAGGAUAGAAA